AACAGUUUGCGUCUUUGCGUUAUAAACAACAAGCAGAUUAUUUGUUGAGCAGAAUUUCCUUGAUCAGUAUUCAGCGGCGUAGAAAGGAAAAAUAAGAAAUUCCUGAUAGCAGUCGUAAACAAUGUUCAAUCAAAUAUACAGUGCCGGGCGAAGAGAAUUUGCUACAGAAUUUAAUUGAGCACACAAAAAAGGGUAAGAUAUCUUUUAUAAGUAACAUCGGAAAGAAUCCAAAUUUACAUGUACAUAAAAUAAAGUACUAAGAAGAAACGCGAAACUCUAUUAUAUUACACGUGAUGCAAUUCCCAAAAGAAGAAUCACAUUAUACUUGUAAUAAAAAUAAUAAAAAAUUUAUUCUGUAAGUUCUGUUUGCUCAAAUAGGUAUUGAACAUGUUAUUGCUACUCUUCCUAUACCAAAAGUUGAAACAGUUGAAGAUAAUGCAAGGAAUAAUACAAUUUUCUUUGGAGACGCCGACACCUUUGAUCGGGCCGCCGAUGACUCUGGUGGGCAUGACCAAGUCAUCUCCUCUCAUCAGUGCAUGAGCACCCUUCAAAGCAAUAAGUGCAUGAG